rnacentral:rRNA from 1 species
UACGUAGGGGGGCAAGCGUUUGUCCGGAUUUAUUGGGCGUAAAGAGCUCGUAGGCGGUUUGGUAAGUCAGGUGUGAAAAUCUCCACGCUCAACGUGGAGGGGCCACCUGAUACUGCCAUGACUGGAGUCCGGUAGAGGAGUGUGGAAUUCCCGGUGUAGCGGUGAAAUGCGCAGAUAUCGGGAGGAACACCCGUAGCGAAGGCGGCACUCUGGG